AGAAGUCCAAAUUGGAUCUCUCCAAAAUUAUACAUAGACUUGAAAAAUGGAGAAGAGUUGGACAAUUGGAAGGAUGAUUUUAGUAAACAAGUUUUCCAUUUUCCAUUUUUCCACUUCUCAAUUUCUCCAUUUUUUUUAGAAAAUUCUCCAUUUCUCCAAGUUAGUAAACAACCCCUAAACCUUUUCGUCACCUUUUCUCCUCAAUCGCAGAUUUCAACCUUCUCCUCCUUACCUGUUCUCCUCAAUCGCAUAUUUCAACCUUCUCCUCUCCAUUUCUUUUCCUCGAAGGAUACGCCUUCUCCUCCCUUGCUCUUCUCCUCGAUCGACAGCGCCUUCUCCUCCUUGAUCGACGACAUAAUGCUUCAGAUCUAUCAAGCAUUCAGGCAGGCUAUCUACGAUAGAGAAUCCGGAAAACAAUGGACUCAGCACUGAAGUUGAAGGAGGCGUAGGUGAUGAUGUUUCCAACCAGAAUGUGCAUUCCCGCAACUUGCUUCGUAUGAACAGCACAUCACCAACUCCAGACUCUGAACAUAGGAAACCUGUGCAUAAUACAGUCCCAUUCUCUUCACGAACUACUAUGGGGGUAACAGGUAGCCCAUCACGUUUUGCAUGCACUGUGCAACAAGGACUCCCUUCAAAUCCACCCGCAGUUUCCACAUCAGGGACAAAUUAUGUUGCCUCCCCUCCCUCUCCAGCUGCAUCAGGCGGUACACCAGCAUUUAGAGAUGCCCAGCUCCCCAAUCCAUGGAAUUAGGACUAAUUAGGAGGGAUGCCUCUAAGCUGCUGCUUGUAUUGAAGGUAUCUAUAUAAACGCUUUCUUCUUAUUCUCAUUAUAUCUUGUUUUGUUGGCCUAGCUAUACUCUUUUUCAAUAAUUUGCAGAUUAUUGACACAUAAAUUGAUUCUAUCUCGUUUCUCCUGCUGCUGCAACAUCAAACAAUGCAUAUGGUAGUUAUUAAUUUACCUUCUCACUCUCUUUGGUAUUCCGAUUUUUUUUUUUCAGUUUUUGGUAAAAUUGAAUUCUUAGUUCAGUUUUUGUGUUCCGGAUUCGACUCAAUGUGGAUCUGAUGUGAGUUUUAUCUUGCUAUAAAUGAUCCAUAAAGUAAUCAUCUUAUUUCUUUUGCCCCAUUUUGUUAGUAUUAUGGUUCAGUAGUACCAUUAUGGUUCAUCCUAUAUCAGCCUUAUAUGCAAAAGCAGAGUGGUUUCCCUGAUGGGUUUACCCGUUUUUCCAUUCAAAGAUCCAAGAAUGAAACCAGGUCAGUGGUUUCUUUCAAUUUUGUUUUUCUUUUUCUUUGUAUUUCAGAUUUUAAUUGACAUUUAGAGUUUCAGAAUCCAAUUCAUCACCAAAUCAAGAGUUAGCAUCUAAUUCAUCACCAAAACAUGGUAGUUCAGACAGUCAUCAUGAUGUGAUAUUCAGAUAAUGGUUUGGCAUCAACACUUCAAAUGCAGCUACCAACCCCAUAGGUUAAUGAAAUUCUUGUUGCUGAUGGUACUGAUUCCCCUAAUGUUGACGAGGAAAAUGUUCUUUCUAGACCUUCAUGUUUUAAUCCUUGAUUAUCUAAACUUAUUUAAGGGAUUGAUAGAAAAGUGAACAUUGUUAUGUUGUAGAUGUAACCUUGAUUGCUAUAUGAAUUACUGAUCGAGUUGGGGUGGUGAUAUAUAUAUAAAGCUUCAGGGUUGA